rnacentral:rRNA from 2 species
AAGUCGAGCGAUGAAGCACCUUCGGGUGUGAAUUAGCGGCAACGGGUGAGGAACACGUGAGAAAUCUGCCUUCAACACUGGGAUAACUCCGGGAAACCGGGGCUAAUACCGGAUAUGAAAUCUGCGGGCAUCCGCGGAUUUGGAAAGUUUUUCGGUUGAAGAUGAUCUCGCGGCCUAUCAGCUUGUUGGUGAGGUAAUGGCUCACCAAGGCGACGACGGGUAGCCGGCCUGAGAGGGCGACCGGCCACACUGGGACUGAGACACGGCCCAGACUCC